GACGGCAUACGAGGCUGUGCUGUACUGGUUUGCAACAUCUGUCACUGGCUUACAUAGCUGUUAAUCUUUCAUUUCAUGUUCAGACUUAUCAGUAUUCAUUAAAGACCCUCCAUUUGUGCAAGACCUUCUGGGAAAGAGUGCCCUAUCUCGGUGUCUUAGAUUUAACAACAACGACAAAAAGGUUCCAUUUUAGACACUUUUUUUGAUCAGGCAGCAGGCAGUCUCUGGCUGUGGGAGGUGGGAACCAGUCAUAUAUGCAUAUGACCAAACAGCUUUUCUACUGGAGAAGUUUAGCGUUGGUAAGAGAAGGGGUUCCAAGUUGAUGUUUAAAUCCACCCAUUUCCAUUUUGCUUCCUUACCUACAAGAAAAUUUAGAAGUUGGUGCAAAUGGCAUUUCCAUGAGUACUUCUCAUGCAUCUUUGCAUAUUUCACCUGGGGGGAAGCACAGAGGCUGAGCCUGGGAGGCUGGAUCCGCGAGGGCGCGUCACCUCGCCUAGUUGGGAGUCCAGGCACAUGCACAGCGUCUAAAGGUCUAAACAGAAAGAUGGGAUGUCCUGCCCCAGCAAAAAUCUAAUGAUUUUCUCUCUCUGUAGGAGAAAACGAAUACAGCAGGGAUGACUUCCACCAGCUCCACUUUGCAGCUCUGAGGUGUAUUAAAAAUUUGUUUUUCAGAAACCUAGAGCCCCACCAAAUGAAUCCGCUGGCACGUGGACCUCAGAUGGGGGAAACUGAGGACUGAAUUCUGACCACCCUCCUUUGUUCUAAAUUUCUUCCUGAAGGACCUGGAAGAAGUCAUGCCACGGGCCAGACCUUAACAUUCCUUUCGGCUUACCCCAGGAUUUCAGACAAAGCUUCACUUUCCUAACCAGUCACAAAUCAGAGAAUUUUUGAUUCCACCUAUGACCUGUGAGCUCCUGCUUCAAGAUAUUCCACCUUUUUUAGGCCAAACCAAUGUAUAACCUCCAAGUGUCGAUUUACACUUUCGACUGUAACUUCUGCUUUCCUGAGAUUUACCCCUGCCUUUAAAAACCCUUGCUUGUAAUCCCUCAGGGAGGCCGUGUAUUUAUUAAUCAUGAGCUGCCCAAUUCUCCUUGCUUGGUGCCCUGCAAAUAAACACCCUCUUUUCUCCCACUGCAAAA
rnacentral:lncRNA from 1 species